rnacentral:rRNA from 1 species
UACGUAGGGGGCAAGCGUUGUCCGGAAUCAUUGGGCGUAAAGCGCGUGUAGGCGGCCCGAUAAGUCCGCUGUGAAAGUCCAGGCUCAACCCUGGAAUGCCGGUGGAUACUGUCGGGCUCGAGUCCGGAAGAGGCGAGUGGAAUUCCUGGUGUAGCGGUGAAAUGACGCAGAUAUCAGGAGGAACACCAAUGGCGAAGGCAGCUCGCUGGGACGGUACUGACGCUGAGACGCGAAAGCGUGGGGAGCAAACAGG